rnacentral:misc_RNA from 1 species
GGUUUUCCCCCAUGCCUAGUCUAUACAAAUUGACUAGCUUCCCAAUGUCUGCUGGAAUUCUACCGGAUAUUUGGUUCAUUCCUAAGCCUAAAUCACCAAGGGUAGACAUAUUUGCUAUAGUGCUAGGUAAUACACCGCAAAUUAUUAUCAGCAAGAUAUAGUUUUUGGAGAUUGCUGCAGUUUAACAAAGAUGUUAUGAAAGCCAAAUCCUGACUUGAAUUAUUGCCCAGAAAAUUGCGUUCCAAGUUCAGCCGUUGAAGACCAUUCAAAUCUCCGAGAUUGAUUGGGACUUGUCCUGUGAAUCUGUUGCUAGCUAUGUCAAAUAUUUCAAGCUGAGAAGCAUUCGUCAAUGAAUCGCGAAUACUUCCGUGGAAUUGGUUCCCGCCGAUUUGAAAAAUUUGCAGGUUAGGAAGAGUGAGCCCUAUAUUUGCUGGUAGCCUUCCAUGCAAUUGAUUUUCUGUAAAAGAUAGCGCAACGAUGGAUGAGAUGUUGUAGAGGGUAGAAGGAAUUGAACCAACCAGAUUAUUGACUCCCAUCCCAAGCUGAGUUAAGCUUGUUAUUCGUCCCAAUUCAUUUGGAAUAUUUCCUUCCAUAUGAUUAUAUGUUACAAAGAAACCUUGGAGGGACGAAAGGUUUCCAACAGAACGUGGGAUCUUGCCCUGAAGGUUGUUU